rnacentral:lncRNA from 1 species
CCUCUAGCCAGCUGUAGAUUUUCAAGGGCAGGAUGAGGCUCGCUGUUCUGUUGCAUUCCCCUUACUACAACUAAAAAAUACCUACACCUGUUGGAUGAGGCUAUUAUAUUGAUCUUGAGAGAUUGCUGGUGCUGCUGGUGGUAGAUUCUCCUGAAUCGAUGGUGCUGGUACAUUGGUCAACUAGAUGUUGUUGGCCUACCAGUCAUUGGAGCAUUGCGAUGCCUUGGAUGCACCCCUUCAUGUCCUUAUAGUAUCUGGUGGGGGGCUCUCUUCUCUCAAGAUAGGACCUCGAAACUAGUCGGGGACCCUUCCUCUAGUGCCAAGUGUUGCUC